GAUGAACGCUGGCGGCGUGCCUAAUACAUGCAAGUCGAGCGAACGGACGAGAAGCUUGCUUCUCUGAUGUUAGCGGCGGACGGGUGAGUAACACGUGGAUAACCUACCUAUAAGACUGGGAUAACUUCGGGAAACCGGAGCUAAUACCGGAUAAUAUUUUGAACCGCAUGGUUCAAAAGUGAAAGACGGUCUUGCUGUCACUUAUAGAUGGAUCCGCGCUGCAUUAGCUAGUUGGUAAGGUAACGGCUUACCAAGGCAACGAUGCAUAGCCGACCUGAGAGGGUGAUCGGCCACACUGGAACUGAGACACGGUCCAGACUCCUACGGGAGGCAGCAGUAGGGAAUCUUCCGCAAUGGGCGAAAGCCUGACGGAGCAACGCCGCGUGAGUGAUGAAGGUCUUCGGAUCGUAAAACUCUGUUAUUAGGGAAGAACGUAUGUGUAAGUAACUGUGCACAUCUUGACGGUACCUAAUCAGAAAGCCACGGCUAACUACGUGCCAGCAGCCGCGGUAAUACGUAGGUGGCAAGCGUUAUCCGGAAUUAUUGGGCGUAAAGCGCGCGUAGGCGGUUUUUUAAGUCUGAUGUGAAAGCCCACGGCUCAACCGUGGAGGGUCAUUGGAAACUGGAAAACUUGAGUGCAGAAGAGGAAAGUGGAAUUCCAUGUGUAGCGGUGAAAUGCGCAGAGAUAUGGAGGAACACCAGUGGCGAAGGCGACUUUCUGGUCUGUAACUGACGCUGAUGUGCGAAAGCGUGGGGAUCAAACAGGAUUAGAUACCCUGGUAGUCCACGCCGUAAACGAUGAGUGCUAAGUGUUAGGGGGUUUCCGCCCCUUAGUGCUGCAGCUAACGCAUUAAGCACUCCGCCUGGGGAGUACGACCGCAAGGUUGAAACUCAAAGGAAUUGACGGGGACCCGCACAAGCGGUGGAGCAUGUGGUUUAAUUCGAAGCAACGCGAAGAACCUUACCAAAUCUUGACAUCCUUUGACAACUCUAGAGAUAGAGCUUUCCCCUUCGGGGGACAAAGUGACAGGUGGUGCAUGGUUGUCGUCAGCUCGUGUCGUGAGAUGUUGGGUUAAGUCCCGCAACGAGCGCAACCCUUAAGCUUAGUUGCCAUCAUUAAGUUGGGCACUCUAAGUUGACUGCCGGUGACAAACCGGAGGAAGGUGGGGAUGACGUCAAAUCAUCAUGCCCCUUAUGAUUUGGGCUACACACGUGCUACAAUGGACAAUACAAAGGGCAGCGAAACCGCGAGGUCAAGCAAAUCCCAUAAAGUUGUUCUCAGUUCGGAUUGUAGUCUGCAACUCGACUACAUGAAGCUGGAAUCGCUAGUAAUCGUAGAUCAGCAUGCUACGGUGAAUACGUUCCCGGGUCU
rnacentral:rRNA from 1 species